GAUGAAGAACGCAGCGAAGUGCGAUAAGCAAUGCGAAUUGCAGAACCGCGAGUCAUCAGAUUUUUGAACGCAAGUGGCGGCUGCCUCGGCAGUCAUGUUUGUUUCAGUGUG
rnacentral:rRNA from 2 species